UGAUGAAACUUUUUCAUUCAUAAGGGUAACCGGAAGUCCCAUUUUGUACAACACCAUUCCGGUCUAACAUUUGUUGUUGGAGAUGAGAUAUUGAUGAACCAACAUGUAUUGAUUGGAAACAAAUGAAGAAUCACAGGUAGCUCUUCUUUUGACAAGGCCAGGAGAAGAGUUUCAUCCUGGAACAACUCACUUUGUUAUCAACUACGGCUGCUGAAUUUGUUAUCCACUAUGGCUGCCAAAAUUCUGAUUCCACGCGAUUGCAGCAUAUCUCCUGCAUAAGUUGGUUCAUCUACAAUCUCGCUGUUUUUGCCUUUCUAGCAGGCUCAGAAAUGUAACCGUAUAACUUUGUUCCACAAAUGAAUGUAAUAUAGUAUGAAGCAUAUUAUGUUAAUAUUUAGUUUAAUCAUGUUUCCAUUA